rnacentral:rRNA from 1 species
ACGAACGCUGGCGGCGUGCUUAACACAUGCCAGUCGAACGGAAAGGCCCUGCUUUUGUGGGGUGCUCGAGUGGCGAACGGGUGAGUAACACGUGAGUAACCUGCCCUUGACUUUGGGAUAACUUCAGGAAACUGGGGCUAAUACCGGAUAGGAGCUCCUGCUGCAUGGUGGGGGUUGGAAAGUUUCGGCGGUUGGGGAUGGACUCGCGGCUUAUCAGCUUGUUGGUGGGGUAGUGGCUUACCAAGGCUUUGACGGGUAGCCGGCCUGAGAGGGUGACCGGCCACAUUGGGACUGAGAUACGGCCCAGACUCCUACGGGAGGCAGCAGUGGGGAAUAUUGCACAAUGGGCGGAAGCCUGAUGCAGCAACGCCGCGUGCGGGAUGACGGCCUUCGGGUUGUAAACCGCUUCCGCCUGUGACGAAGCGUGAGUGACGGUAAUGGGUAAAGAAGCACCGGCUAACUACGUG